GGCUUCCAUUGGGUUUGGCCAACGGCACACACAGGCAGAUCAGAAGACAGAAGGAGAGAGGGGUUGGGUCAUGUCUUCCUUGCUGCUUCCCUGCCUUGGUGUUAUAUCUCUGGCAUGCAUUCCUCCAUGAUGGCAGCUUCUGCUGAGGGGCCCCACCAGGGUUCCUGCUUUUUCUGAGGAUUGUAACACAGUGUCUUCCUUUGGCUUUGGUAUCAAGGUAAUGCUGGCCUCAUAAGGCAGAAUCAUAAUUCUCUACCAGCUGCUUAUUUUGGAGUCAUCUGGGUCUGGGGAUGGUUCUGGACAAAAAUACAAAUUUGGAGACCCAUCACUGGUUUGUAGGAUCAGAGGUGGACAUUUCAAGUUCAAUUAUGUUUGAUGACUCAUUAGGUUAAAGAAGCUGUCAGGUGGUAAAGUCACCCCAGGUAAUUU